GCCCCCAUCGUCUAGUGGACUAGGACACAGCCCUUUCAAGGCUGCGACAGGGAUUCGAAUUCCCUUGGGGGCA
rnacentral:tRNA from 1 species